UACGCAGGGGGCUAGCGUUGCUCGGAAUCACUGGGCGUAAAGGGUGCGUAGGCGGGUCUUUAAGUCAGAGGUGAAAUCCUGGAGCUCAACUCCAGAACUGCCUUUGAUACUGAGGGUCUUGAGUAUGACAGAGGGGAGUGGAACUGCGAGUGUAGAGGUGAAAUUCGUAGAUAUUCGCAAGAACACCAGUGGCGAAGGCGGCUCACUGGGUCAUUACUGACGCUGAGGCACGAAAGCGUGGGGAGCAAACAGG
rnacentral:rRNA from 1 species